GAUAAACGCUGGCGGCGCACAUAAGACAUGCAAGUCGAACGGACUUAACCAUUAGUUUACUAUUGGAGCGGUUAGUGGCGGACUGGUGAGUAACACGUGAGCAACCUGCCUCUCAGAGAGGGAUAACAGUUGGAAACGAUUGAUAAUACCUCAUGACAUGUUUUUGCCGCAUGACGAAAACAUCAAAGAUUUAUCGCUGAGAGAUGGGCUCGCGUCCGAUUAGGUAGAUGGUGAGGCAACGGCUCACCAUGCCGACGAUCGGUAGCCGGACUGAGAGGUCGAUCGGCCACAUUGGGACUGAGACACGGCCCAG
rnacentral:rRNA from 1 species